UUAAAACACGAUCAGGAUAUUUAGACAUUAUGUGCUAAAGGUGUCCCAUCUCCCCCCACCCUACUAUGUACAAUAAAUCAGAUUGUUAUCAUUCGUGACAUGCCAUAGUUUUACAUUCGUACCUAUAUACGAGGACCAAUCCACAGUUAUCGGCAUCCAAUCCCACCCUGUAGCUUGAUCAACUCGUUUUAGUUCAACUAUAAAGCUUCCUCUCUUAAUUUCCUUGCCUUUGAUUUAGCAUUCUUGGAAAACGAAGAUACUUCAUAACUGCCCCCGUUGUAGAAGGAUUAUUUUGCUGAUGUCACGAUCAUUCGGUCGGAUGUUUUCCACUAUGCACGUCAUGCUUCCAUUUAAUUAAAUGGAAGGUACUCAUAUAAACCAGAGGUAACGCGCUGCUGACGUUCGAUGUAAUGCCUAUAUGCGGGACUUACAAAAACACAUUGCACAGUACAAGAAAUAUCAGUCUACAUUUUUUUUCUUUUCGCAUAUAAUGCUUCAUACUUUAUACACAAUGCGUGUGCCACUUGAACAGUUAUAGUUAUUACACAAUCUUCGAUCGUUUUUAACUUUAUUAAGUUUGCAUCAGUAUAAUUAAGUUACUUACGAACUAGCUUUUUUUAAUUCGCAUAUUUAUGGUUAAACUAUUGCUCUGCAAAUACGUUGAAGCCAAACCGAUUAACACACAUCAGUAACUACUUUUGAUACAAAUAAACCUCUGCUACUGCGCCAACAUCAGUAUCCAACCAACUGACAUAACUGAACAAUACUCAAGCAUUUAACGAGAUAAGAAUGAUCCUAUAUAAUUCUGCAUUGCGGCUCUUUUUUGUAAUUUUCCAUUGCACCAGCCAUGCUUCCUUUUAUUAAAUUGGAAAUUAAACCUGACGUAAUUG